AGUAAAAUGGCUGAAGAUAAAUAGGCGAUAAAUUGUAAAUUUAUAGAUAAGAAUUAUUCUUUUUUACUA
rnacentral:tRNA from 1 species